rfam:Actinoplanes friuliensis DSM 7358, complete genome.
GUGUCGAGAAUCGUCGGGCUGAUCAGGUGCACGUGGCUGUCGAUCGCGCCCGCGGUGAGGAUCUUGCCGUUGCCGGCGAUGAUCUCGGUGCCGGGACCGAUGACCAGGUCGGGGUGCACGCCGUCCAUGGUGUCGGGGUUGCCGGCCUUGCCCAGGGCCACGAUGCGGCCGUCGCGGAUGCCGAUGUCGGCCUUGACGAUGCCCCAGUGGUCGAGGACGACCGCGCCGGUGAUCACCGUGUCGGGGCUGCCCUCGGCGCGGGUGGCGCGGGACUGGCCCAUGGACUCGCGGAUCAC